rnacentral:tRNA from 2 species
GUCGGGAUAGCCAAGCCUGGUAAGGCGGACGCCUCGAAAUCUUAUACAGGAUAGCGUCUGUGCAUCCGCACGCGGGGGUUCAAAUCCCUCUCCCGGCG